rnacentral:rRNA from 1 species
AUUGAACGCUGGCGGCAUGCCUUACACAUGCAAGUCGAACGGCAGCACGGGAGCAAUCCUGGUGGCGAGUGGCGAACGGGUGAGUAAAGUAUCGGAACGUGCCCAGUCGUGGGGGAUAACGUAGCGAAAGUUACGCUAAUACCGCAUACGAUCUAUGGAUGAAAGCGGGGGAUCGCAAGACCCCGCGCGAUUGGCACGGCCGAUAUCAGAUUAGGUAGUUGGUGGGGUAAAGGCUCACCAAGCCGACGAUCUGUAGCUGGUCUGAGAGGACGACCAGCCACACUGGGACUGAGACACGGCCCAGACUCCUACGGGAGGCAGCAGUGGGGAAUUUUGGACAAUGGGCGAAAGCCUGAUCCAGCCAUGCCGCGUGCAGGAUGAAGGCCUUCGGGUUGUAAACUGCUUUUGUACGGAACGAAAAGGUUUGGCCUAAUAAGCUGAGCUCAUGACGGUACCGUAAGAAUAAGCACCGGCUAACUACGUGCCAGCAGCCGCUGUAA